GAGAAUUGAGGAAUUAAGAAAAUAAGAAUAAAGAAUUUAAAAUAAAGAAAGAAAUAAAGAAAGAAAGAAUGAAAUACCGUGAAGGUAUAGUAUAGAUACAAUGAAAUGAAUUUCAAAAUAAUAUAACCACAGAUAAUAUAAACCAUAAAAUAGACACCUUCAAGAUGUCGGGUGACAGAAUAUAUACAGAGAUAUAACCUUAACCCUAACCCCUAAUGUGUCAAAACAAGGAUUGUCAACAGGAAGCAAGAACAGUGUAAGAAGACUCGUUAAGAAUGGGAACAAGAACAAGAUUACCUACUAAAAAGCCUGAUAGUCAACUCAGAAAAAGGAAACAAGCAAGAAAAGCACACUGUCACCCUAUUACGACAGAACUAUAAAAUAACAAUACCAGAGAUAGACAUCAUGAAUUAAUUGAAUUAAAGAAUAUCAAAGAAGAAUCAGAAUAUCCAAGGAUAUAACAGGCGACAACCAAGGAAACGACAGUAAAAUAAAAUAAAUAGUGAUAAACAGUGAUAACGCGGCACAAAUAACUAAAUAUAAAAUAUAAGUAUAUUGAAUAUAGAAUAACCGCAUCAAAGCAAACCAUAAAUAUAUUAAUUUAAUCUACAACACUUUGUACCACCAUAAAUAUAAAAUUAAACUAAAUCGUAACAGUAACUUUAAUUCAGUUAAUACAGAAUGAAUGAACAAUAACGGAGUGAAAGAAUGAACGAAUUAUCAGUGAAGUUAUUAAUAAAGAAAUUAAAGAGAAUGAAGUGAAUAGGAAGCGUAAAGUAUAAAGUGAAAGCCACGACCAGCAUAAUGUAAUAAUAUAGGGUAAAGCAACGCAGUGUAAUAUAAUGCAAUGUAAUAUAAUAAUGUAAACAAAUGUUGUAUAAUAAAUAAAGUAGAAUAUAAAAUACAAGAAGUAGACUCAAAAUAUAACCGUAAAGCUUAUUAACUAAAUACUCUAUUUCUAUACCAAAGUAAAUUAUAUGUUAAAUGGUAAAUGGUGGAUGAUAAGUGAUCGUGUCAAUGCAAAUGUACAUAGAACCAAUUAUUUCAUGACAUUUCAAAAUAAGGAAAUAAACAACACGUAAAUAUUCAAAUCAAAUAUAAACUGUGUAAUUCAGUUAAACACUAUGCUACUGCAUAGUGUAAGAAUAAAUCAAUCAAUCAAUCAAUAAGUAAAGUAUUCUAAACUAAUAUUUAAAAUGGUGAAAUUAAACAGAACCCGCGCAGCAUGAAAGCAUUUGAAUGGACAAAACCACUCAUCAUCACAGAAGAAUAGCAAAAUUAAUUAAGAUAAAUCAAAUCAAAUCACCAACCUCAACUGGUCAGAAUAAAUAAAUGAAUGAAUAACGAAUAAUGAAUAAAUGAAUGAAUGAAUGAAUGAAUAAAUCAAGGAAAAGAGAAACAACAGAAUACUAGCAAGUACGAGUAAGCAAACCCUAAUGCGCCAAAGCCACGGUGUCAAAACUAGCAUGCAAGGACUAGCUAAAAGGAACGACAUUGAAUAAGAGAACUGAAUUGCAACUGAAAAGGAAAAGAAAAGAAAGGAAACAAGAAACAGCCCACCAUCAUGGAAGAGCAACAUUAUGACCAGAGAAAGACGUCAUGAAUAAGCUGGAUUAAAGGAAAUCAAAGGAACACCAAAACAUUAAUGAAUAUCAAGGAUGCACAGGGAAAUCAAGAACAAAUCAAGAAGCGAUAAUGAAACAAAAUGUAUAACAGCGAUAACGCGACCUAAUAAAUUAGAGUAAUAAUAAAUAUAUUAAAUACAAUAUAAAAUAAAGAAUAACCAUGGAAGCAAAUCAUAAAUAUAUUAAUACUAAUACAAUCUACAGAACUUUGUACCAUCGUGUGUUAAAAUAAACUAAAUCAUAACAGUUACUUUAGUUCAAUUUUAUUCAGGACGAAUGAACAGUGACAGAGCGAAGGUAGUAAUCAACAUAGUAUGAUAAUGUAAUAAUGUAAUGUUCCGCAAUAUAACGUAGUGUCACGUAAUAUAAUGUAAAACAGAAGGUAUUAUACUAAAGUAAAAUACAAAAUACAAAUACAAGAAGUGUGUUUAAUGAAAUAAUAUAGUACAAUCGUACAGAUUAUUAGCUACAAUAUUCCAUCUCUUAACCAGAAUAGCCUACAAGUUAAAUCAUAAAUUAUAAACUACAAAUUAUAAAUUAUAAAUCAUAAACCGUAAAUAAUUGUGGACACCGCUUGUCAGCACAAAGGAAAGAAAUUAGAGUAAAAUAAAUUAAACCCUUUGACUAUUAAUCAGAUAAACAAUGAGCAAAGAACGAAUGAAUGACUGAAUAAAUAAAUAGUAAUGAGUAAAUAAUAAGUGAAUAACGAAAGAUUGAAUAUAUGACUGCGAGCACAACUAUAGAAAUUAAGAAACUGGGAAAUUGAGGAACCGAGAAAUUGAGUAAAUAAAGAAAUAAGAAAAAGCGAAGAGGAAGUGAAAAUGAAAAUGGGAAAGUGUACUGCAAGCCGUAAAGUGUAAUGUGCAAGCAAAAUAACCAGCACAAUACACUGUGAUAUAAAAGAAAAGAAAAUAAAGAAUGAAUGAUACCGUGAAGGUAUAGCAUAGAUACAGUGAAGUGAAUUUCAAAAUAAUAUAACCAUAGAUAACAUAAACCAUAGAAUAGACACCUUCAAAGAUGUCGGGUAACAGAAUAUACAUAACCUUAACCCUAACCCCUAAUGUGUCAAAACAAGGAUUGUCAACAGAAAGCAAGAAGAGUGUAAGAAGACUCGUUAAGAAUGGGAACAAGAACAAGAUUACCUACUAAAAAGCCUGAUAGUCAACUCAGAAAAAGGAAACAAGCAAGAAAAGCACACUGUCACCCUAUUAUGACAGAACUAUAAAAUACCAAUACCUGAGAGAGACAUCAUGAAUUAAUUGAAUUAACGAAUAUCAAAAAAGAAUCAGAAUAUCCAAGGAUAUAACAGGUGACAACCAAGGAAACGACAGUAAAAUAAAAUAAAUAGUGAUAAACAGUGAUAACGCGGCACAAAUAACUAAAUAUAAAAUAUAAGUAUAUUGAAUAUAGAAUAACCGCAUCAAAGCAAACCAUAAAUAUAUUAAUUUAAUCUACAACACUUUGUACCACCAUAAAUAUAAAAUUAAACUAAAUCAUAACAGUAACUUUAAUUCAGUUAAUACAGAAUGAAUGAACAAUAACGGAGUGAAAGAAUGAACGAAUUAUCAGUGAAGUUAUUAAUAAAGAAAUUAAAGAGAAUGAAGUGAAUAGGAAGCGUAAAGUAUAAAGUGAAAGCCACGACCAGCAUAAUGUAAUAAUAUAGGGUAAAGCAACACAGUGUAAUAUAAUGCAAUGUAAUAUAAUAAUGUAAAACAAAUGAUAUAUAAUAAAAUAAAGUAGAAUAUAAAAUACAAGAAGUGGACUCAAAAUAUAACCGUAAAGCUUAUUAACUAAAUACUCUAUUUCUUUACCAAAGUAAAUUAUAUGUUAAAUGGUAAAUGGUGGAUGAUAAGUGAUCGUGUCAAUGCAAAUGUACAUAGAACCAAUUAUUUCAUGACAUUUCAAAAUAAGGAAAUAAACAACACGUAAAUAUUCAAAUCAAAUAUAAACUGUGUAAUUCAGUUAAACACUAUGCUACUGCAUAGUGUAAGAAUAAAUCAAUCAAUCAAUCAAUAAGUAAAGUAUUCUAAACUAAUAUUUAAAAUGGUGAAAUUAAACAGAACCCGCGCAGCAUGAAAGCAUUUGAAUGGACAAAACCACUCAUCAUCACAGAAGAAUAGCAAAAUUAAUUAAGAUAAAUCAAAUCAAAUCACCAACCUCAACUGGUCAGAAUAAAUAAAUGAAUGAAUAACGAAUAAUGAAUUAAUGAAUGAAUGAAUGAAUGAAUAAAUCAAGGAAAAGAGAAACAACAGAAUACUAGCAAGUACGAGUAAGCAAACCCUAAUGCGCCAAAGCCACGGUGUCAAAACUAGCAUGCAAGGACUAGCUAAAAGGAACGACAUUGAAUAAGAGAACUGAAUUGCAACUGAAAAGGAAAAGAAAAGAAAGGAAACAAGGUAAGAAACAGCCCACCAUCAUGGAAGAGCAACAUUAUGACCAGAGAAAGACGUCAUGAAUAAGCUGGAUUAAAGGAAAUCAAAGGAACACCAAAACAUUAAUGAAUAUCAAGGAUGCACAGGGAAAUCAAGAACAAAUCAAGAAGCGAUAAUGAAACAAAAUGUAUAACAGCGAUAACGCGACCUAAUAAAUUAGAGUAAUAAUAAAUAUAUUAAAUACAAUAUAAAAUAAAGAAUAACCAUGGAAGCAAAUCAUAAAUAUAUUAAUACUAAUACAAUCUACCGAACUUUGUACCAUCGUGUGUUAAAAUAAACUAAAUAAUAACAGUUACUUUAGUUCAAUUUUAUUCAGGACGAAUGAACAGUGACAGAGCGAAGGUAGUAAUCAACAUAGUAUGAUAAUGUAAUAAUGUAAUGUUCCGCAAUAUAACGUAGUGUCACGUAAUAUAAUGUAAAACAGAAGGUAUUAUACUAAAGUAAAAUACAAAAUACAAAUACAAGAAGUGUGUUUAAUGAAAUAAUAUAGUACAAUCGUACAGAUUAUUAGCUACAAUAUUCCAUCUCUUAACCAGAAUAGCCUACAAGUUAAAUCAUAAAUUAUAAACUACACAUUAUAAAUUAUAAAUCAUAAACCGUAAAUAAUUGUGGACACCGCUUGUCAGCACAAAGGAAAGAAAUUAGAGUAAAAUAAAUUAAACCCUUUGACUAUUAAUCAGAUAAACAAUGAGCAAAGAACGAAUGAAUGACUGAAUAAAUAAAUAGUAAUGAGUAAAUAAUAAGUGAAUAACGAAAGAUUGAAUAUAUGACUGCGAGCACAACUAUAGAAAUUAAGAAACUGGGAAAUUGAGGAACCGAGAAAUUGAGUAAAUAAAGAAAUAAGAAAAAGCGAAGAGGAAGUGAAAAUGAAAAUGGGAAAGUGUACUGCAAGCCGUAAAGUGUAAUGUGCAAGCAAAAUAACCAGCACAAUACACUGUGAUAUAAAAGAAAAGAAAAUAAAGAAUGAAUGAUACCGUGAAGGUAUAGCAUAGAUACAGUGAAGUGAAUUUCAAAAUAAUAUAACCAUAGAUAAUAUAAACCAUAGAACAGCCACCUUCAAAGAUGUCAGGUGACAGAAUUUACAGAGAUAUAACCUUAACCCUAACCCCCAAUGUGUCAAAACAAGGAUGUCAACAGGAAGCAAGAACAGUGUAAGAAGACUCGUUAGGGAUAAGAAGAACAAAUUACCAAUUAAGGAACCCUGAUUGUCAACUCAAGGACAGGAAACAAGCAAGAAAGGCACUGUCACCCUUUUGUGAAAGGGCUACGCAAUACCAAUGCCAGGGAGAGACAUCGCGAAUUAAUUGAAUUAAAGAAUAUCGAAGAAGAAUCAAAAUAUCCAAGGAUAUAUAACAGGCGACAAAUCAAGAAGGCGACAGGAAAUGGAAUAAAAUAGUGGUAGUCAGUGAUAACGUGACACAAUUAAAUUAAAAUAUAAAAUAUAUAUGUAUUAAAUGUAUUAAAUAUAGAAUAACCGCAUAAAAGUAAACAUAAAU